rnacentral:rRNA from 1 species
UUGCUAUUGGAACUUAGUGGCGAACGGGUGAGUAACACGUAGAUAACCUGCCUGUAUGACCGGGAUAACAGUUGGAAACGACUGCUAAUACCGGAUAGGCAGAGAGGAGGCAUCUCUUCUCUGUUAAAGUUGGGAUACAACGCAAACAGAUGGAUCUGCGGUGCAUUAGCUAGUUGGUGAGGUAACGGCCCACCAAGGCGAUGAUGCAUAGCCGGCCUGAGAGGGCGAACGGCCACAUUGGGACUGAGAUACGGCCCAGACUCC